GAGAUCUGCUGAUGGACCUGCCUCCUGCCAGUGCCAGGUAGGGGCCUGGUGACAGCAUCAUGAGGCAAAUAAGAGAGAAAAAGGCUCCACGGAGCAUAACAGGGUCUGACCCAGGAAUCCAGGAGUUCAUAUAGGAGCCCUGCCCUUCCAUUGCUGUGACAGACAGAAUGAACAGGAGCCUAACUUAACAGCCCUCUGAGAGACUACCCAGAAGAUGACUGAGACAGAUGGAUAUACCUACAGACAAACAUUGGACGGAGGUUGGGGACCUCCAUGGCAGUUAGGGAAGGAGAUGACAACCUCACAGGAGGACCAACAGUGUCAACUAAUCUGGACCUCUAGGAGUUCACAGAGACAGAGCCACCAAGCAAAGAGCAUACAUAGGCUGGUCUGAGCCCCCUGAUUCCUAUGUAGCACAGGGCUGUCAUAUCUGGCUGCCUCAGUGGGAGAGGAUGUGCCUAAUCUUGCAGGGAUUUGAUGCACAAGGGUGUGUGUGAGAGCUACAGGGGGUAUGCUGCCCUCUUAGAGGAGAAGGGGAGGGGAAUGGGGAGGAGCUCUGUGAGGGUAGACCAGGAAGGGGGCAACAUUUGGGAUAUACGUAAAUAAAUGAAUUUUC
rnacentral:lncRNA from 1 species